rnacentral:rRNA from 1 species
UACGUAGGGUGCAAGCGUUGUCCGGAAUUAUUGGGCGUAAAGAGCUUGUAGGCGGUUUGUCGCGUCUGCUGUGAAAUUUCGGGGCUCAACCCCCGAACUUGCAGUGGGUACGGGCAGACUAGAGUGUGGUAGGGGAGACUGGAAUUCCCGGUGUAGCGGUGAAAUGCGCAGAUAUCGGGAGGAACACCAAUGGCGAAGGCAGCUCGCUGGGACGUGACUGACGCUGAGACGCGAAAGCGUGGGGAGCAAACAGG